CUCUCUCUCUGUACAUGAAGGGAUCAUGAGAGCUCACAGCAAGAUGGCGGCUGCCUACAAGCCAGGAAAAGAGGCCUUGGGGUGAAACUUACCUUGCAGUACCUUGAUCUUGAACUUCUUACCCUCCAAAACUGUGAGGAAUACAUUUCUGUUGUCUAAGCCACCUGGUCUAUGGUACUUGGUUAUAGCAGCUCCUGCAGACUGAUACACUCCAGGUGGUGGGAUUCUGGGUAAAUUUUGCUUUUUAAAAAAUACUUUGUUACUUUCUCUCUGUGCUGAAGGAGCAAAAAGUAUUCUUAUAAUAGUAGCUCAACAAUAUAUCCCCAAAAGCAUACAAGAUAAGGAACAUCACAUUUCUCAAACGUCUGCUCCUCAGGGAACUCUCUCUAGAUCUUCCCAGGUACUUGCUUCUUGUUUUGUUUCAUGGGCCUAACUUUUAGAGCUCAUGUCUCACUAUCUUGCAGGGCUUUUGGAGUCCCCUACUCAUACACCUUCUCAUACAUGAGACUACACUGCUUGAAAACCACAAUGGGCUCCAUAAACACUUUUGCAAUAGUGAAGAAGAAGAAAAAAUAAUGCCACACAUGAAUGCUCCUGAGAUGCCUCUGCCUAUUCUGGUGUGAUUGAAUUCUGUCCCCAGCAAAGGGAGGAAUGGGGUGAAUGUUGCUAUGUUUCUCUUUGCCUCCAUGGAAAGAAGUAUUUGGAGUAACCAGCAUCAUGGAGACAACAGCCUUACUCCCCAAGAAACCAGAGUUGGGGGAGAAGAGGGAUCUGCCUUCUCUGUGAAAGGCCCGGAGGCACUGAAAAGGAGCAGUUUCGGAAGAAUGCUGGCCUUGGAAUUAUCUACCCACCUAUCUAUCCAUCUGAUCAUCCAUCCAUCCAUCCAUCCUUUUAUCCAAUCUCCUAUCUGUCCAUCUGUCCAGCUAGCCAACCCUCAUUCACCAAAUAUUUAUUGAGCAUUUGCUAUGCACACUCACUAGGGAUAAAGUGGUAAACAAAAUGGACAUCAGAUCAAUUCAGGCUGGUGUCCUAGCUCAGCCAUUUAACUGUCACCUUGGGAAACUUGCUUGCUGUCUUUGAGCUGCUUUCUUUAUCUGCACAUUAGGGAUUCUAAUCUCUACAGUGAAAAAGGUUACAAUAAAUAUUGUCCAUAUAUGGACAUAACUUAGCACAGUAGCAAGACCACAGUAGGUGCACCACAAACAGUAGUUUUGGCAGUUCUCUAUCUCCCCCAAAGACCCCUGCCUACCACCCUUCUGCUGCAUAGGACAGCAUUUCUGCAUGAUCUUCAUACAAGGCAGCAACAAGGACCUGUGGGACGACGUUUGUCUGGGAGUGGAGAUGAGGCCCAAUGAGAGUCGGUGGCGUGUCUGAGGCUUACCGGUCCUUGAAGAGCAGGAGCUCCUUCCCCAGCAUUGUCACAGCGUCAAAGGAUGAGCUGGAGUCACAGAGGUCAGGGAUGGAUGGCUUGUGAUGGGGGGCAUGGGGCAGAGUGGGCUUCCCCAGGAAUACUUUCCGAGGUCCUAGGAUUCAAAAUGAGUUGGUCAAAAUGGUAACGGGAAUUUGGAGUUCACACACUUCUGCUCUAGAGCCCCAGGGGAGGUUGUACACUUUCACGCUGGACAUGUGAUCAUGAUCAUGGCUGUUGAGGGCAGGUAUGGGUUUGAGUCCCGGCUCUCCUGGUUGCUGAGCUGUGUGAUUUGAGGCACAUUAUUCAACUUUGCAAGCCUCAGCUUCCUCACUUGUUAAAAGGGAGGGAUAAUAAUAGUACUCACCUCAGAAGGCUGUUGUGAGAAUUAAAUAAUUCCUGUAAAGCAGGUAGCAGAGUGCUUGGCACAUAGCAUCCAGGAAAAACUGAGCGAGUUCUUGUGAAACUGAAGUACACUGAAGGUGUUUGCUAUUUAAAGGUAUCUUCUGGUGGAUCGUCUUGGAAAACAUGGACCCAAAUCUUGCGAGAGCUAUCAGUGAGUCUCCUCUCCUGCUCUGCAUCUCUCAGGACUGUGUCCCAGCUCCAGAAGAAUGAGCCUGCACAGCUUGGACUGUCACCUCUGGCAGGUUCCUGCUCUUUGAUGAAGCCUCGUCAUAAUUACAGCUGUGCCAAAAUAUGUGCUUUGCCUCCUGGCUGAGUGACAGUGGCCAUCCGAAGGCAGUGACUUUCCAGGGCACAAGGACCUCCAAAGGCAAGUGUUUGAGCUCAGCCCUUCUCGGUGGCCCACAGGAAUCGCUUCCCAUUGGAACACUGCCACCAAGGCUCUGGAGCUGAGUUUGUGACAUGGAGACAUUCAUGGCAUUUUUCCUGUCCCUCAAGGGUCAGGCAGAUCUGGUGCUUUCCCCCUCCUGGAAAUGGAUAGAGCUGGCUGAAAGCUUCUUGGGAUGAAAUUUGUCUUUUGUGCCUCAGGUGAAAUCUGACUGAUUUUGAAUGGUGUGCCCAUUUCUGGGCUUCCCACCCUCCAGAUCCCCUGGGGCCAGAUUCCUAGCACCCCAGGAAGCUGUUGGGGGAUCUGG
rnacentral:lncRNA from 1 species